AGUUUGAUCCUGGCUCAGAUCUANCGCUUGUGGGGGCCUAACACAUGCAAGUCGAACGAGGCUUUCCGGUGCUUGCACUGGAAAAUCGAGUGGCGAACGGGUGAGUAAUACAUGAGAAACCUGCCUUGGAGACGGGGACAACCUCGGGAAACUGAGGCUAAUACCCGAUAUCCCUGCCGAGUCGCAUGACUUGGCAAGAAAAUACUCAGGUGCUCCAAGAGGGUCUCAUGCCCUAUCAGCUUGUUGGUGAGGUAAAAGCUCACCAAGGCUUAGACGGGUAGCUGGUCUGAGAGGACGAUCAGCCACACUGGGACUGAGACACGGCCCAGACUCCUACGGGAGGCAGCAGUGGGGAAUCUUGCGCAAUGGGCGGAAGCCUGACGCAGCCACGCCACGUGUGGGACGACGGCCCUCGGGUUGUAAACCACUUUCAGCAGGGACGAAAAUGACGGUACCUGCAGAAGAAGCCCCGGCCAACUACGUGCCAGCAGCCGCGGUAACACGUAGGGGGCGAGCGUUGUCCGGAAUUACUGGGCGUAAAGGGCUCGUAGGCGGUUUGGUAAGUCAGAUGUGAAAACUCCAGGCUCAACUUGGAGACGCCAUCUGAUACUGCCAUGACUAGAGUUUGGUAGAGGAGUGCAGAAUUCCCGGUGUAGCGGUGAAAUGCGCAGAUAUCGGGAGGAAUACCAGUCAGCGAAGGCGGCACUCUGGGCCACAACUGACGCUGAGGAGCGAAAGCGUGGGGAGCGAACAGGAUUAGAUACCCUGGUAG
rnacentral:rRNA from 1 species